CUUUAAGAACAAGGGUCCUAUGAAGACACAGCCCCUUCCUCUAGCGUCAAUUCUGUUGGUGCAAAAUUCUACUGAUGUCGGAGAAGCUGGAGUCGAGGGGAUCACGACCGUCGUUGGGACCUGCAAGGAAAGUCUAAACUGGAGUUGGGGAGAUCACGGCUACCGUCGGGACCUACAAGAAAAGUCUAAACCAGAGUUGGGGGUACUCCGGCA
rnacentral:lncRNA from 1 species